AUUGAACGCUGGCGGCAGGCCUAACACAUGCAAGUCGGACGGUAGCACAGGGGAGCUUGCUCCUCGGGUGACGAGUGGCGGACGGGUGAGUAAUGUCUGGGGAUCUGCCCGAUAGAGGGGGAUAACCACUGGAAACGGUGGCUAAUACCGCAUAAUGUCGCAGGACCAAAGAGGGGGACCUUCGGACCUCUCACUAUCGGAUGAACCCAGAUGGGAUUAGCUAGUAGGCGGGGUAACGGCCCACCUAGGCGACGAUCCCUAGCUGGUCUGAGAGGAUGACCAGCCACACUGGAACUGAGACAUGGUCCAGACUCCUACGGGAGGCAGCAGUGGGGAAUAUUGCACAAUGGGCGCAAGCCUGAUGCAGCCAUGCCGCGUGUAUGAAGAAGGCCUUCGGGUUGUAAAGUACUUUCAGCGGGGAGGAAGGCGAUGUGGUUAAUAACCGCGUCGAUUGACGUUACCCGCAGAAGAAGCACCGGCUAACUCCGUGCCAGCCGCCGCAGUAA
rnacentral:rRNA from 1 species